rnacentral:rRNA from 1 species
UACGUAGGGGGCAAGCGUUGUCCGGAAUCAUUGGGCGUAAAGCGCGUGUAGGCGGCCAGAAAAGUCCGCUGUGAAAACUCGAGGCUCAACUUCGAGCUGUCGGUGGAAACUUUCUGGCUAGAGUCCGGAAGAGGAGAAUGGAAUUCCCGGUGUAGCGGUGAAAUGCGCAGAUAUCGGGAAGAACACCCGUGGCGAAGGCGGCUCUCUGGGACGGUACUGACGCUGAGACGCGAAAGCGUGGGGAGCGAACAGG